rnacentral:rRNA from 1 species
UUACGGGAGGCAGCAGUGGGGAAUCUUGCGCAAUGGGCGAAAGCCUGACGCAGCAACGCCGCGUGUGUGAUGAAGGUCUUCGGAUCGUAAAGCACUGUCGCGAGGGACGAAUAAGGGGCGGGCUAACAUCCCGUUCCGAUGACGGUACCUCGAGAGGAAGCACCGGCUAACUCUGUGCCAGCAGCCGCGGUAAUACAGAGGGUGCAAGCGUUGUUCGGAAUUAUUGGGCGUAAAGCGCGUGUAGGCGGCUUUGUAAGUUGGGUGUGAAAGCCCUCGGCUUAACCGAGGAAGUGCGCCCAAAACUGCAUGGCUUGAGUACCGGAGAGGGUGGCGGAAUUCCCGGUGUAGAGGUGAAAUUCGUAGAUAUCGGGAGGAACACCAGCGGCGAAGGCGGCCACCUGGACGGAUACUGACGCUGAGACGCGAAAGCGUGGGGAGCAAACAGGAUUAGAUACCCCGGUAGU